GAGGGUGUAGCUCAGUUGGUCAGAGUACUUGCUUGACAUGCAAGGGGUCGGUGGUUCGAGCCCACUCAUCCUCACCA
rnacentral:tRNA from 1 species